rnacentral:rRNA from 1 species
UACGACUACAUAUCAGGCAUAUCAAUAAGCGGAGGAAAAGAAACUAACAAGGAUUCCCUUAGUAACGGCGAGUGAAGCGGGAAGAGCUCAAAUUUGAAAUCUUCAAGGUUCUACCUUGACGAAUUGUAGUUUAUAGAAGUGUUUUCUGUUAGUGGAGUGGCAAAAGUUCUUUGGAAUAGGACAUCAUAGAGGGUGAGAAUCCCGUAUUUGGUCAUUCCUCCUAGCGUUGUGAUACACUUUCAACGAGUCGGAUUGUUUGGGAAUGCAGUCCAAAAUGGGUGGUAAAUUUCAUCUAAGGCUAAAUAUUGGCGAGAGACCGAUAGCGAACAAGUACCGUGAGGGAAAGAUGAAAAGAACUUUGAAAAGAGAGUUAAACAGUACGUGAAAUUGUCAAAAGGGAAGCGUUUGACACCAGUGUUGUUUUCUCGAAAAUCAAUUAAAAAUGAUUGGAUUUUGUGUUGUAUUGACCUUAUCAGCUUUCUGCACUUUUUUCUUGUCUUUUUUAAUGCACUUUUCGUUUAACAAGUCAACAUCAAUUUCUUUUGUUGUAAAAGAGUCAUUGGAAGGUGGCUUUUCACUUCGGUGAAAAGUGUUUAUAGCCUUUGGCUUCUGCAAUCGGAGAGAUUGAGGUCUGCAGCGUAGAUCCUUCGGGGUUAGAUACAUUUGUGCUAAGCUAUAGUUCUUUCAUAGACAACUUGUUGACUAUGAUUCAAUCAUGUAGCUUACUCGCUUAUGCUAUUUUACCUACGCUUAGGAUGUUGAACGCGCACAGAGUCUC